CCACUGUGGGAGGUUACGGUCACACCCCAGGUGAACCACUGUGUGAGGAUAGGGUCACGGUCAUGCCCCAGAUGGCACCAGCAGCUUUAGUCCUGGCCUUCUCACCUUCCCCAGAAGCUCACGCUCUCGUGACAUGAAGGAGGAGUUUGACUUCACAGAGACAUCGAGCUUCCGCCUGAGAGUCCCAUCCAGGGGCAGAUCCCACUCAAACCUGGGGAAAGCACUAGAUCUUAGAGCCAGGGUCCCACCGGAAGCCUUCCCCCGACUCCCACCACCCCACGCCCGUUUACUGACCGCUCAUUGAACUCAGGAUUGAGGGUCCUCUUCUUCUGCGGGGUCUUCCUCUUGGUGCUUCGGUUCUUGUCUGGGAGCAGCAACACUGACACAUAGGGGUCUGGGAGAUCACGUCCAUUUUGUCGAAGGGCCCUGCAACAGAAGGAUGUGGGCAUUGGAGCAUUCAAGGCAAAGGACGGAGGGGACCAUAGAGGACAGGUGGCCAGGGUCUCACCGGCAGCUGUGAAUAAUGCUGAUCAGCUUUUGUUCGUCGCUGUGGUACCACACUGUCAGCUUCACCUGGCCCAGGGGCCCAACGGGAGCCUCAGAGGGACUGUAGGAAGAGGGAGACCAAGCAUCUAAGAACCCCGUGACUCAUCUCCAUCCUCCUGCCUGCACAUUACCUCCCCUUCCAGCCCCUUACCUGUCACCAUGUGUUAGGCGAUGCCUGACCUCUAGGACCGGGGAGGCAGGGUGAGUGGGUCCCCCUAAGGCCUCAGGUUCGUCAUUGAGCGAGGAGGAGCUGUGACUGUGGCUGUAGCUGUGGCUGUGGGCUUCCACUCCCGAGUGCUGAGAUACCAGGAUCUGGGGGCAGGAGAGGUUUGAGCCGGGCAGCAUGGUUCCCAGUGCCCGAGGGCUGCUCCUGACAUCUCCCACCCUCUGGAGCCUAAGCCUUCCUGCCCUGGUACUCACCCCAAGCUGCGCUCUCAUCAGCACCUGGCCCUGACCACUGAGUGCAAACCAGUGGUCCAGGCAGAGCUGGUCCUCCUGGAGGAGCUCAGAGAGAGGAAGGGAUACAGAGCCCAGGGUGCCGGUCCCUUCACCCCGAACCUGUGGGGCAAAUGCAGUGAUAAAGUAUUGAAGCUUGGCAUUCAAAGGCUCGGGUGGUUUUGGUGAAAGUUCCUAUCUCAGCCUCGCCAGUGUUAGGAUUACAGGUAUGUGCCAUAGAGCCUCCUGUCUACCUUCUACUUCAAUUAAAAUAGUCUCUACUUUCUACUCUCUAAGCUUUGACAGACUUACCAGUAGAACCAGCAGAAUGGAAAAAAAAAAAUGGCAGGAACUAAAGGUAAAUUGCCAGGCAGUGGCACACACCCCAGCACUUGGGAGGGAGAAGCAGGCGGAUCUCUGAGUUUGAGGCCAGCUUGGUCUGCAUGGUGAGUUCCAGGACAGCCAGGGCUACACAGUCUCAGUAAAAAAAAAUUAAAUAAUAGCAUAGGGCUAGAGGUGCAGCUCAUUUGGUAGCGUGCUUGCAGCUCUGGGUGGAGGCCCUAGCUCCACAUCAGACCGGGUGUGCUGGUGCAAGUCUGUCGUCCUGGAACUUCGGAGGCAGAAAGAGGAGGGUCGCCCUCAGCUGCAUACUGAGUUUGAGGCCAGCUUGAGCUCCGUGACUCCCUGGCUCAGAAAGUUUCCAGCCUAUCAUGCUCUCAUUUCUACAUCCCGAGUGUAACAUUUAAAACCUUCCUGCUGCAGAUGUGAGUGGUAGAGAGAGGGCCCAGCUGCAGAGUAUUGGCUGCUGUUUGAGAGGACCUGAAUUUGAUAACCACAACUGUCAACCUCUUCUGGUUUCCCUAGGCAUCAGGGUUUCUCUGUGUAGCCCUGGCUGUCCUGGACUUCUUGAACCCACAGAGAUCCACCUGCCUCCUGAGUACUGGGAUUUAUGGUAUGCACCACCACACACCCAGCCUAGUAAUUUCUAAUAGUCUAAUUUUUUGCCUUUUGAAACUUAACUUGUUUCCUGCAACCUUCUCUCUAAGGUCCCCUGAAGGAUUCUUCCAGUAUCUGAGUUGUUACGAGUGAGCUGUAGCCCACAAGUUUCCACAAGGGGGAAAGCUGUUAACACCAAAGACUUCAAAUUCAAAGACUGUUCUCUGUUCCCUUCCUCUCUCAAACAAGAACAGCAGGUGGAUGAAGCAUGCCUGUAAUUCCAGCAUUCAGGAGGUCAGUCUAGGGUACAGUCUAAGCCGCUGUCUCAAAAAGUCACCAACAACAAAGAUGCCAGGAAGUUCUUGUUGUUGUUUCGAUGCACUAAUUUUUUAACAGGGAAAAACAACAAAACAAAACAAAGAGCCAGGCUUGGUAGCACACACCUUUGAUUCCAGCACCUGGGAGACAGGCAAGAAGAUGGCUCUCUGUGAGCUCUAGACCAGCCAGGUUAUAUGAGAAUUGUUUUUUAGGAGAUGACCCAGUGGGUAAGAGCAUUUGCAGCAGGGGCAUGAAGACCCGAGUUCACGCCCCACAAACCAACACAAGUGCCUAUACUACAAGCCUGUGCCACCACACCCUGGCCAGCUAGUCCCUUAGGUCUGCCUACUCCUCCUACCAUCCUGGUUGGCCACAAUCCUCCUAACUCAGGUCUGAAACAUUCACU
rnacentral:lncRNA from 1 species